CGGGGGGUGGCGCAGCUUGGUAGCGCGCUUCGUUCGGGACGAAGAGGUCGUGGGUUCAAAUCCCGCCACCCCGA
rnacentral:tRNA from 1 species